rnacentral:rRNA from 1 species
GACGAACGCUGGCGGCGUGCUUAACACAUGCAAGUCGAACGAUGAGGCCGGAGCUUGCUCCGGUGGAUUAGUGGCGAACGGGUGAGUAACACGUGAGCAAUCUGCCCUUGACUCUGGGAUAACUGCGGGAAACUGCAGCUAAUACCGGAUACGACACCUUGGGGCAUCCCAGGGGGUGGAAAGAAUUUCGGUCAAGGAUGAGCUCGCGGCCUAUCAGCUAGUUGGUGAGGUAAUGGCUCACCAAGGCGACGACGGGUAGCCGGCCUGAGAGGGUGACCGGCCACACUGGAACUGAGACACGGUCCAGACUACUACGGGAGGCAGCAGUGGGGAAUAUUGCACAAUGGGCGAAAGCCUGAUGCAGCAACGCCGCGUGAGGGAUGAAGGCCUUCGGGUUGUAAACCUCUUUUAGCAGGGAAGAAGCGAAAGUGACGGUACCUGCAGAAAAAGCACCGGCUAACUACGUGCCAGCCGCCGCGGUAA